rnacentral:tRNA from 1 species
UUGUUUAGAAGCCAAAGAAGAGGCUUAAUAUUGUUAAUAUUAUAAUUGAUAAUUAUUGAUAUCCUAACAAG